GACGAACGCUGGCGGCGUGCCUAACACAUGCAAGUCGAGCGGAGUCGAUCGACGGAAGCCUUCGGGCGGAAGAUGGUUGACUUAGCGGCGGAUGGGUGAGUAACGCGUGGGCAACCUGCCUCGAAGACCGGGAUAACAGCCCGAAAGGGCUGCUAAUACCGGAUGUGGUCAAGGAUCCGCAUGGAUUUUUGAUUAAAGGGGAAACCCGUUUCGAGAUGGGCCCGCGUCCUAUCAGCUAGUUGGUGAGGUAAAAGCUCACCAAGGCGACGACGGGUAGCCGGCCUGAGAGGGUGACCGGCCACACUGGAACUGAGACACGGUCCAGACUCCUACGGGGGCAGCAGUGGGGAAUCUUCCACAAUGGGCGAAAGCCUGAUGGAGCGACGCCGCGUGAGCGAAGAAGGCCUUCGGUUGUAAAGCUCUGUCUGGAGGGACGAAGGAAGUGACGGUACCUCCGGAGGAAGCCACGGCUAACUACGUG
rnacentral:rRNA from 1 species